ACUGAUUUAUAUUCAAUAAUUUCCAUUUCCGUGUGUGGGAGAGUGCCAAUUUGAACUCACAAUCCCUUGGCGCACCACAACUCAAUUUUAAAACCCUACUCAUCCCAAUUCGAUUCUCCAACCAAUGUCGCCGGCGCCGAUCAACUCCUCCGCCGAUACAACUCCACAUACUCCUACUCCUAUUCACUUCGCUCCUUUCAAUGCCGACGCCAUCAAACCUCCUGCCUCCACCGCACGUGCACGGUCGCGGCCGAGACUGGCGAAACUGAGGAAGCAAUCAGCGUCUCAGACCACAAGGUCGAGGAGCAGAACCGCAUCCGCAGUCACCGGUUUCAAUCCUUUUCGCUCUGAUCAGGUAUGUAGUGGUUCCGAUACUUGUGAGACUGGUAUGAACGGUAGCGAGGGUUUUGUUUUUGGUGCUAGGAAGGUUGAUUCUGAUUCUGUUAGGGAUUUGAAAAAUUCGGAGGAGGAGAAAGAAACAGAGGUUAGGAAAAGUGGUAGUGUGGAAUUUGUGUUUAAUGCUGAUGAAAUUUAUGCUAAAUUGGAUUCACUUUUUGACGGAGAGGAAAAGAGUAGUGAGAAUGAGGGGAAGAAAGUUUCUGGUGAGGAAAGGGAGAAGUUAAAUUCGGAACGGGAGAAGUUAAAUUCGGAACGGGAGAAGGGGGAGGUUAAUGUUACAGGGUUCGUUUUUAGUGCUGGUAGAAACGACAAUCCUUCUAGUUUGAAUACAGAAAAGGGAAAACCUAAACCUACUAUACCUGUGGGGAAUUCGGGGGUUGAUGAUGGUGGGGAGAGGGAAUGUAAAAAUGAAUUUGUUUUUGGAAAGAAGGAUUCUUCUGGGGACAUGAAUAGAGGUGUUAAAAUGUCUAGUUUUAAUGUAGAAAAGCAGGAAUCUGUUGGCAGCAUGAGAAGUUUGGAUAAUGGAAGCUGUGUUUUUCAUGCCGAGACAGAAACAUACAGUAAUCUUGGUAAUGAUGCUGAUAAGCGUGGUAAUUUGGGUAAUGAUAUUAAGUCUAAGAAUGGAAAUGGAAGUACUAAUGGUAUUUCUUCUACUUAUAAUGGCAUUCAUGUACGUCAAGUAGUAGAUGAGAUAAAGAAGCUGAACAUCAACCAUCCUGAGGGUGUCCAUAUUCCUAGUCAUUCGACAAAUUCACAUGUACAUAGUAGCAAUGGUUUUGUGUUUGGAGGAAGUGGCAAUGUUUCUAGCUGUUUCAGUGUUAGUUCAGGAUCUAAUACUACUGGAGGUCAACAGUUGCAUGCUAAUGAUGAUUUUGAGAAUAUUGGUGGCCAAUAUACUGAAGAUUGCAGAACAAAUGAUGUUCAAAAUGGAACUGCUGAUGGUAACGCCCGGGAUGCUGCAGCCACUGGAAUACCUUGUUCUAAGACAUCCACUAGUCAGGACGGGACCAAAGAUUUCCAAUGUGGCAAAAUUCCAGAAUUUCAAGUGUCUGAAGAUGCCCAAGUGAAUGGAGCUGAACAGUCUUAUACGGACUUUAAACCCCCGACAUGGGAUCCUUCUAGUUUUAAAGAAAACUUAUUUUGUAAGUUAAAUGAAAAAGUUCAAUCCACACAAAACAGUAAAUCUUCCAAAGAAAAAGGAUCAAAGUGUACGAGGCAAAAAUUGAAGUCACGUUCCUUGAAUAAGAAACAGACAAAGCUGGACCAUUUGCCAAAGGAAAGCUGUUCACUUGAAACCCCCGAGUCUUCUGGCGGCUUCUCUCCGAUGGAUUUUUCUCCCUAUCAAGAAGCCUCGGCAGAAGAUGAAGAUGUAAAGGCUUCAGAAGAAUUAAAUGUUCUUCACUCAACAAUUCCUACCGAUUUAAAAGACGAAUGUUCGGCUGCUAUAGGAAGAGAAUACAUCAACUCAGAUGUUCAGAGAUGUAGAGAUCUUGGUAAUGACGAGUCCUGUUAUGGAGGUUCUUCUUUAGGUGAUGUUCCUUCUUCUGGCCCCGAAAUAAUCUGGCCUAAGAUGCAAACUGAAGUGUUCAGUAGCAGUAGUACUGCCGGUGUUUCGGAAGAUGCCGGGGUUGACUUCACCUCAAACUCUGAAAAGAAAAAGUCUGAAAUGUUUUGUUUUGAUAAUGGUCUGGGUGAUUUGAAGGAGAAAGAUUUUUCAUUUUCAGCAGGGUCCACUGUAGAGAUUUCUUCAUUAUUUAGGCCUAAGCAGAAGAAGAAAUUUAGGGGGAAAGUUGGUCGUGACUCAUUUGUCAUCUCUCCAAAUGUGAAUGGAAAAUCUGUAUCUUCUUUACAAUUUUCACCACUUACUACGGCCAACAUGUCAUCACAUUCUGAUGUGACAGAUAGGUCUCACAUGAAUAAUCAGUUCGAGGAAGAGGGCGAUACGUCAUCAGAUACAAUUCAAGCAGCCUGUUACCAAUGGAGACUCAGGGGGAACCGUGCUCAUAAAGCUAAGGAUCUUUCUAAAGCUGAGGAAUGCUACACACAAGGAAUAGUUUCUGUUCCUUCCAAUAAAAGAUCAGGAUCCUGCAUUAAGCCUCUUUUACUCUGCUAUAGCAACCGUGCAGCAACACGUAUGGCUCUAGGAAGGAUUAGAGAAGCUCUAGAGGAUUGCAUGAUAGCAUCUUCUCUGGACCCCACCUUUCUGAAAGUACAGAUUAGAGCUGCUAACUGCCACCUUUUGCUAGGGGAUGUUGAGAAUGCUCAGCGGUGCUAUAACAAGUGCUUGGAAUCAGGUAAAGUUGUGUGUUUGGAUCGGAGAGUAACAGUUGAAGCAGCUGAAGGUUUACAGAAAGCUCAGGAAGUGGCGAAGUGUAUGAAUGAUGCUGCUAAACUUUUGAAGGAGAGAACUUCUGAUGCAGGUGGUUCUGCUUUAGAACUACUUACGAAGGCAUUGUCGAAGAGUUUAUACUCAGAAAGAUUGCUCCAAAUGAAGGCCGAUGCUCUCUAUCUGCUGCAAAAGUAUGAUGCAGCAAUUCAGCUAUGUGACCAGAGUCUGAAUCUUGCUGAAAAGAAUUUUGCCUUGGCAAACAGUGCGAACAAUUCUAUGCAUGAUAGUUACUUAAGUGUAAAAAUGUGGAGAUGGUCAUUUAUAUCUAAGUGUUACUUUCGUUUGGGGAGGCUUGAUGCAUCACUUAAUGUUAUUGAAAAGUUACAGCAAACAGCAUCUGUCAAUGACAAGUGUGUGAUUGAUAACAUUGAAGAGUUGCUGUCAUUAGCUGCUACAAUACAAGACCUUCUAGAUCACAGGAAAGCAGGAAAUGAGAACUUCAAAUUGGGAAAGUAUACAGAAGCAGUGGAGAACUACACUGCUGCUUUAUCUAGUAAUAUCAAAUCACGCCCUUUUGCAGCAAUAUGUUUUGGCAACCGUGCUGCUGCACAUCAAGCUUCAGGCCAAAUAGCGGAUGCCAUUGCGGACUGCAGCAUGGCUAUGGCCCUUGAUGGAAAUUAUGCAAAGGCAAUUUCUAGAAGAGCCACCUUGCAUGAGAUGGUUAGAGAUUAUGAACAAGCAGCUUGUGACAUCCGGAGACUUAUUUCUGUUCUUGGAUCUCAAUCCAAUGAAAAGGCCAAACAUUCUGAAUCUCCAAACGGAUCAACUGGUGGCAAAGAAUCAAGGCAAGCUCAACAACGUCUGCUUACUGUGGAAGAUCAAGCCAAAAUGAGGACCCCCUUGGACUUUUAUCUCAUCUUAGGUAUUAAACCAGCUGAUACAGCAGCUGAUAUCAAGAAAGCAUAUCACAAGGCAGCUCUCAGACAUCAUCCUGACAAGGCUGGUCAGUUGUUGGCAAGAAGUGAAGUUGGGGAUGAAGGUGUUUUCUGGAAAGAAAUUUCUCAGGAGGUGCACAAGGAUGCUGAUAGGCUUUUCAAAAUGAUUGGAGAGGCAUAUGCUGUACUUUCAGACCCUGCCAAGCGCUCGGAGUAUGAUAUGGAAGAGGACAUAAGGAAACUUUAUAAACAAAGUAACAAAGGUGGCGCCUGCAGGAGAUCUUCAGACGUUUAUGGGAAUGGAAGAUCAUCCGAUAGUUAUAGAUCUUCCUAUGAUAGAGGUUAUAGCAGACGAUAUGGACAUUGGAGCACAUAUGGAGAUUCCUAUUCUCGAUGGUAAGAGUUUACCUAGACAAAGGGCAUCUGUGUUCCUUUGUCUGGUCGGAAUAUAAAUGACAUCCCUUCCCAUUCUUGUUAGACCCAAGUUUCAUGAUGGUGUGAAAAAAGGCUUAAAACUGCUUUUGCAGUCUGAGUUAGCAAUCAGGCCACUGCUGCUAUAUUCUUUUGGUCUGACUCAGACCUUUGCAAAAAUAAGAUUGCUCGAAGAUAUUGCAAGCAUGAGGAGCCAAGGAAAGGGGGUUAAGAACAGGCUCCACCAUCAAUCAGAUAUGCUCUCCACUAACUUUACUGAUAACAAGGUUUUGAUACUUCAUACCUACCUGUUUAUUGUUGGACGAUCUCUUCUGAAAGGGAAGGGGGCUAUUUAUACAGAAAGUCUAACAAAUACUCUGUUGUAUUCACAUAGUUUCUCAAAUGUAAUAGAUGUUUUAUUGUGUAUCUGGAUUGAGAACCUUAUUGGGAAGCAAUGUAUAAUGUAUUGCAUGUGGAAAUCAAUUUAAACUCUGCUUAUUUACA